GCAAAAAAGCUAGCCUUACCACCCACCCAGACAACAUAUCACAUAAAUAACACACCAUAAAAUAAACCAUUCUCCCCCCUAAGUAUAGGAGAUAGAAAAGGAAAUGUAGAGCUAUAGAGAAAAGUACCGCAAGGGAAAGCUGAAAAAGAAAUGAAACAAAUCGUAUCAGCAAUAAAAAGCAGAGACUAACCCUCGUACCUUUUGCAUCAUGGUUUAGCAAGAAUCAUCCAGGCAAAGAGAACUUAAGUCUGAACCCCCGAAACUAGACGAGCUACCUCGAGGCAGUUUUAUAGAACCAACCCGUCUCUGUGGCAAAAGAGUGGGAAGACCCCCAGGUAGAGGUGAAAAGCCUAACGAGCCUAGUGAUAGCUGGUUGCUUAAGAAAAGAAUAUUAGUUCAGCACUAAAUCAUCCUAUUAACCAAAAAAUCUUACGGAAUUAGAGAGACUUAGCAGUUAGUCAAAAGGGGUACAGCCCUUUUGAAAUAGAACACAACCUUAUAAAGGAGGACAAGGAUCAUAAACUCAACUAAGGACACUGCCCCCGUGGGCCUAAAAGCAGCCACCCAAACAGAAAGCGUUAAAGCUCAAGCAGAACAUUACCAGUAAUACAGAUAAAUAAAUCCAAACCCCCUAAUCAAUAUUAAGCCAUCCUAUGUACCACAUAGAAAAGAUAAUGCUGAAAUCAGUAAUAAGGGGGCAUUAGCCCCCCUCCUAGCACAAGUGUAAAUCAGACCGGACAAGCCGCUGACACCUAAACAGACCCAGAAUGAGGGCAAAACAAAUCAAUCACGAAACAUAAACAAGAAGAAAAUGUAUAAAACACUGUUAACCCAACACAGGAGUGCUACCAUAGGAAAGACUCAAAAGGGAAGAAGGAACUCGGCAAACACAAACCCCGCCUGUUUACCAAAAACAUCGCCUCUUGCUAAAAAAAGAAGUAUUAGAGGUCCCGCCUGCCCUGUGACCCAUGUGUUUAACGGCCGCGGUAUCCUUGACCGUGCGAAGGUAGCGCAAUCACUUGUCUUUUAAAUGAAGACCCGUAUGAAUGGCACGACGAGGGUUUAACUGUCUCCUACCCCAAGUCAAUGAAAUUGACCUGUCCGUGCAGAGGCGGACAUAAUAACAUAAGACGAGAAGACCCUAUGGAGCUUUAGGUAAAAUAUCACGUACGUAAAGAUAGAUAAUAAAAGCUAAAGACACUAAAACCACACUAAAACUAAGAUACAAAUGAUAUAAAUACCUUCGGUUGGGGCGACCAUGGGGGAAAAAAAAGCCCCCAAGCGGAAAGGAAACACAAUCCUAAACCAAGAAAGACAAUUCUAAGUAACAGAACAUCUGACCAUGAAUGACCCAGGCACAACCAGCCUGAUCAACGAACCAAGUUACCCUAGGGAUAACAGCGCAAUCCUUUCCCAGAGUCCAUAUCGACGAAAGGGUUUACGACCUCGAUGUUGGAUCAGGACAUCCUAAUGGUGCAGAAGCUAUUAAGGGUUCGUUUGUUCAACGAUUAACAGUCCUACGUGAUCUGAGUUCAGACCGGAGUAAUCCAGGUCGGUUUCUAUCUAUGAUACAACUUCUUCCUAGUACGAAAGGACCGGAAAAAGGGGGCCAAUGCUAAAGACAAGCCCCACUCCCACUUACUGAAAACAAAUAAAAUAAAUAAAGGAGCACUCUCUCUCAGCCAAAGAUCAAGGCAA
rnacentral:rRNA from 1 species